UUUUUAGAACUCACUUAAAAAAAAAAAUUCCAAUAUAUAUAGAUAGACAACCCAAAAUUUAUUUUCAAAAUGUUUCAUUUAAAAAUUUAAUUAUUAAUUCUAAACCAAUGAUAUUAUAGAACAUCAUUAUAUUUAAAAUAAUUAAAUUAAUACCUUUUGAAUUUAUUUAACAAAAAUUAAGGUAAAUACAUUUUUAUACUUGUCAAACCAAACCUUUUAACCAAUAUAAACUCAUCGCAAACCCCAAACCAAUAGAAAACCAAGCAAAAACCCACGUUUGAUCCAAACCGGACUCAAAUCGAACCUAAAUCAGUCUAGAAAGCCCUAGUAACUAAAAAUUUACUGUUUUGCCCAAAAACAUAUUUUCCCCUCCUUUCCACUAUCGCCGAAAGCCCCCUUCCCGAUCCCCUUUCGUUUUUCCGAUCACCACCCGGUCCGGCGAACGCCACCCCCUCCUGUCGCCGUUGCCUCCUCAGCGUGCUCUCCUCUCCAUCAUCACUUUUCCGACUGGCGCAAUAGUCGCUAGGAGCUGCGAUUCUGUUCUCGAUCGGGAAAUCGCAUCUCCAGCCUCUCCUUCGAUUUUCCCUCGACUCCAGCCCGAUCGGUCGGCUUUAGCUCCCUUGUCUGGCUGUGUCCCUCAAUUUCUCUCUCUUCCUUCCUGUUCCGGCUGGCGCAACGAUCAGGAGAAGCUGCGACUGUGGUUGCGAUCAGGAAAGUCUCGUUACCUUUUUUUUUUGCAUUUUCCGGCGAGCCCAGCCAAGGACCGGCCAAACUAGACCUCCCACCUCGUCCCCGGUUCCUUUCCGACCACUGUCUCUUCUGUCUUCUUUAAAUUUAGCGGCGGCAGUAGCUAGCUCGAGGGAGACGUUUCUACCGAUCGUUCUAACUGGAAAAUUUCGAUUUCCGGCGUAUGUUGCGACUGGGUAAGCCAUAUUAUGACAUUAAAUUUAAUUCAUGAGUUCUUUGAUCUUAGUUGAAGGAUUUGAGGUAUAUAAUUGAGCUAUUGUAGAAAUUUAAAUAUUCAGCUACUAUUUAUAUGAGUAUGAUUAGGAAUUUCAAUUUGUGCUCUUUAAAUAGGUAUAUAAACUAAAUCCUAUAUAGAAAUGGUUAGAUUUUUGCUUCUAUUAUAAAUUUGUGUGAAGAAUUAAAGAUUCUUUAUAUUGGCAGUAGCUAUUUAGCCAUUCGCUUGAGAUUCAGGUAAUUAAUGAAGGUAAUGUAUACUAUAUGCUAAACUCUUGAUGGGAAAUUUUGAUCUUUACCUUCUAAUUGAUAUAUAACCUGAAUUCUUGUAUAGAAAUAGGUAGAUUAUUUGCUUAAACUACAAAUGUUUGCAAAGAAAUCAAGGAUCUCUUAACUAUGGCAGCAACGAACUUAAUUAUUUAUAUGAGUUCUAUUUUUUUUCGAAGGAAUGGUAUUACACAAAAUAAUUAUGUUGCGAAAUGAAUUGAUUAUCAUGUAAAACAUGAAUUUUGGUGGAG
rnacentral:lncRNA from 1 species